rnacentral:rRNA from 1 species
AGAGUUUGAUCAUGGCUCAGGAUGAACGCUGGCGGCGUGCCUAACACAUGCAAGUCGAGCGAACCCUUCGGGGUGAGCGGCGGACGGGUGAGUAACGCGUGGGUAACCUGCCCUGUACACACGGAUAACAUACCGAAAGGUAUGCUAAUACGAGAUAAUAUAUUUUAAUCGCAUGGUUAAGAUAUCAAAGCUCCGGCGGUACAGGAUGGACCCGCGUCUGAUUAGCUAGUUGGUGAGGUAAUGGCUCACCAAGGCGACGAUCAGUAGCCGACCUGAGAGGGUGAUCGGCCACACUGGAACUGAGACACGGUCCAGACUCCUACGGGAGGCAGCAGUGGGGAAUAUUGCACAAUGGGCGAAAGCCUGAUGCAGCAACGCCGCGUGAGCGAUGAAGGCCUUCGGGUCGUAAAGCUCUGUCCUCAAGGAAGAUAAUGACGGUACUUGAGGAGGAAGCCCCGGCUAACUACGUGCCAGCAGCCGCGGUAAUACGUAGGGGGCUAGCGUUAUCCGGAAUUACUGGGCGUAAAGGGUGCGUAGGCGGUCUUUCAAGCCAGAAGUGAAAGGCUACGGCUCAACCGUAGUAAGCUUUUGGAACUGUAAGACUUGAGUGCAGGAGAGGAGAGUGGAAUUCCUAGUGUAGCGGUGAAAUGCGUAGAUAUUAGGAGGAACACCAGUAGCGAAGGCGGCUCUCUGGACUGUAACUGACGCUGAGGCACGAAAGCGUGGGGAGCAAACAGGAUUAGAUACCCUGGUAGUCCACGCCGUAAACGAUGAGUACUAGGUGUCGGGGGUUACCCCCCUCGGUGCCGCAGCUAACGCAUUAAGUACUCCGCCUGGGAAGUACGCUCGCAAGAGUGAAACUCAAAUGAAUUGACGG